UUCGCAAUGCCCGAAAGGGUGACUAUGCGACGCCGCGUGAGUGAUGAAGGCCUUCGGGUUGUAAAACUCUGUCAGGUGGGAUGAAUAUACGACACUGAAUAGGUGUCGGACUUGACCGUACCACCAGAGGAAGCCACGGCUAACUCCGUGCCAGCAGCCGCGGUAAUACGGAGGUGGCAAGCGUUGUUCGGAAUUAUUGGGCGUAAAGAGCACGUAGGUGGAUUUGUAAGUCAGACGUGAAAUCUUCUCGUUCAACGGGAUAAAGUGCAUCUGUAACUGCAAACCUUGAGUGUAGGAGGGGAAAGUGGAACUUCUGGUGGAGCGGUGAAAUGCGUAGAUAUCAGAAGGAACGCCGGCGGCGAAAGCGACUUUCUAGCCUAUUACUGACACUGAGUGUGCGAAAGCUAGGGGAGCAAACGGGAUUAGAUACCCCGGUAGUCCUAGCCGUAAACGAUGGGCACUAAGUAGAGGGGUUUU
rnacentral:rRNA from 1 species